rnacentral:rRNA from 1 species
UACGGGGGGGGCAAGCGUUGUUCGGAAUUACUGGGCGUAAAGGGCUCGUAGGUGGCCAACUAAGUCAGACGUGAAAUCCCUCGGCUUAACCGGGGAACUGCGUCUGAUACUGGAUGGCUUGAGUUUGGGAGAGGGAUGCGGAAUUCCUGGUGUAGCGGUGGAAUGCGCAGAUAUCAGGAGGAACACCGGUGGCGAAGGCGGGUCUCUGGGCAGUAACUGACGCUGAGGAGCGAAAGCGUGGGGAGCGAACAGG